CUUUUAUACUACAUGAAAACAAAAGUUAGAAUAGUCGGUUCUCUCUAUUCUCUCUAUUGAAUCUUUCAAAGGAGACUCAUUAAGUUUGUUGCCGUCCGGAUCUUUUCCGGUUAUCAAAUCCCGUGUAACGGACUCUUUUCCAACAUGCACCAGAUUUUUAAGGUGUUUGGUUGGCUUUUAUCCUACAUCAAUUGACUUUUACAGUCGAGAUGAUCAAGUUGGCUGUCGGCGUUUCUUGCUGCUUUGCUCUCGGUUGUUCAUGACCGAAUAAAGUUUAUGUUGUGAUGGUCAACUAGGUGCCCAAGCCAUAGAUUCUCGAAAUCAAAUUUUGAUCCCUAGUUCUCAUGCUUCCUCAAAUCCUUCAGAUUUAGCUUCUCUUCCCUAGGCCUUCAACCGAUUUAUCCACCUCUCUCAUCUCUGAGAUGAGUGAUGUUGCGGUUAGACGGUUCCUUCAGUUUCCUCCAACAAGAUUUCACAGUCAAAUUUGGGUCAAGACCUGAAAAGUCUACUUCGGCUUAUCGGUCUUCCAUCAAAUGAAUCUCGAAUUUACCGGUGUCAACAUGUAUUUGAUGAUUCCAAAGCUUCAUCAUCGAAGCCUCAUCAAGUUGGGGUUGUAAGUAGAUGUUUUGAUUUCUUAAAUCUAGUAAUUAUCAAGAGAUGACGCGUAGUUCAGAGUUUUCCGGUGGUUGUAAUGAUCUCCGUCAUCACUAACAAAAUUCAGUUCAGAAAAGAAGUGGUGUUCACAGAUGGCAUCUCAAUUGGAGCAUUAGGAAUUAACUUUUAGAUUUUGUUUGUUUGAUUCUGGUUUGGUACCUUUAAUUGGCUUUUGUUUUUGUGUUUUAGAUCUGAGGAAUACUCGUUUCCGCCGGUUAAAUAUCUGUGGACUUACAUGUGUCUUCCGGCUUUGUAUCUUAAAUGUGUGUUUUUUUUCCUUCGUUUGAAAGUGUUUGAUUGUAAAAAAAGAAU